GGAAUCUUCCACAAUGGACGCAAGUCUGAUGGAGCAACGCCGCGUGAGUGAAGAAGGUCUUCGGAUCGUAAAACUCUGUUGUUAGAGAAGAACACGAGUGAGAGUAACUGUUCAUUCGAUGACGGUAUCUAACCAGCAAGUCACGGCUAACUACGUACCAG
rnacentral:rRNA from 1 species